UUGAAAUAAUACAGCUUACACUAGCGUUCAGUUUGAAAUGAUAAUUGGUAAUAUUAACACAUUUGUUUACAGAUUCAUUGAGAUAUGAUGAACAAUAAACCACUCAUAUUUAAAGUAUACAGUUUGAUAAAUUUUCACACAUAUAUGCAUUGGUGAAACCAUCACCACUGACAAGAUAAUGAACAUUAAGGCCAGGCACGGUGGCUCACGCCUGUAACCUCAGGUCUUUGGGAAGCUGAGGCUGGAGGAUCACUUGAGCCCAAGAGUUCGAGACCAGCCUGGGCAAUGUGGUGAAACUCCAUCUCUAUAAAAAAUACAAAAAUUAGCCAUGCAUGGUGGCACGUGCCUGUUGUCCCAGCUACUCGGGAGGCUGAGGUAGGAGGAUUACUUGAGGAUCACUUGAGAGAGUGCAGUGAGCUGAGAUUGUGCCACUGCACUCCAACCUGGGUGACAGAGGCAUAUCCUGUGAAAAAAAAAAAAAAAAAAAAAGGAACUAAUGUGUCUAUCACCCAGUAAAAGUUUCUCCAGCCUGUUGCUAAUCUAUCCCUUCCUUCAUCCAAGUGCCCAGAAAACAUAAUCUGCUUUCAGUCACUAUAGAUUUUGUUAGCAUUUUCUAGAAUUUUAAAUAAAUAACAUCCUUCUCUUUUUCAUCUGGCUUAUUUUACUCAGCAUAUUGAUAUUGAUUUUCAUUCAUGUUGCAUGUGUUAAGAGUAUUUUCUUUUUUAUUGAUGAGUAGUAUUCUAUUGUGUAGACAUCCCCAAUUUUUGUUAUAUACUCACCUAUAAAUGGACAUUUGGAUUGUUUCCAGUUUGUAGAAAUUUUAAAAAAUCUACUAUGUAUAUUCUCAUACAAGUCUUUAUAUGGACAAUUGAUUUCAUUUCUCUUGGGAAAAUGUCUAAGAGUAAAAAGGCUGGGUUGUGAGGUAGACAUAUGUUUAAGAAAUUGCCAAGCUGUUUUCCAAAAUGGUUAUACCAUUUUUAUCUUCCUUCUAACAGUGUAUGAGAGUUCCAGUUAUUCCGCUUCCUUGCCAAGCCAACAUUUUUUAAUCUUCACCACUCUAGUGGAAUCCCUAAGACACAAAACCAUAAGGACCUGGAAGGACCUGUUGAAAGAAAUUUGCCACCCUAUUGACCAGGAGAUUCGAUUUAUCUGAAAGUAUUCCAGAGAAACUUGUUAUAAAAUUAUCAGUUCAAGAGGGAUCAGAAAUCAAAAUCAAAUCUAUUUUACUGUUUGUUUGCAAAGCACUGUUCUAGAACACACAGGAACAUAACUGAAGACAGCUAUAGUCUGCAGAAAAGUGACUCUCUAUGCCUGGCUGAGGUUUCAGACCUGGCACUGAAGCUUGGCACAAGUACCAAAUCUCCAAAUAUUUGGCGCAAAGAACUAGUACCUAUAAAUGGGCUGACUAAAUGAAGUGGCAAAAGGCUAUCUCUAAAGAUGGAAAAGUGACAAGAAUUGUUCAGAUGACAGUGUUACAGAUUUUGAAAACAAAAUUUGUGGGGAGAGGGCAAGGGGUUGCUGCACUUGAUGGCUAACAUAUCCAAGACUACAAGGACAAUGGAGGGAGAUGGCAAUUGAUGACUGCAUUGAAGCCAGAAAGAGAAAUUACAGCUCACAUCAUGGUCAGAGAACAAGAGACCGUCUAUGGUGAACCUGUAGCACUGGGCAGGUAUGGCUAAAACAUACCCCAAAUUUAAUUAUGCAAGUUACCUAAUUAGAAUGUAAUCUGAACUUACAGACUCACAAAGUUUCUUAUGUGGAAGCUAGGGAAUUCACUGAGAAGGAAUGGGAUCAUGAAAUUUAAAAUGGAGACAUUUGGAUGCUCUGUGAUAAAGUACAGAAUCUUAAAACCCGAGUUUUCAGAGUCAUUUCUGCCAAUUUCUGCCAUUCCAUUUUUCCUUUCCCUGAAGUCCUAGCAAAAACUUCACCUGAGGCAAUUACCUUGCAAUGAGGCAUUUAUUCUCUUCAAUAUCCACCACCAUCACCUUUCAUUCUCCACACAGAGCAAUCCAAUAGAAAUCUCAGUGGUGAUGGAAAUGGUCAAUAUGGUAGCCACUAGCAAUAUGUGGCUAUUGAGCACUAAAA
rnacentral:lncRNA from 10 species